AGGAAGGGAUGACUGGUGACAGAGAGAGGGGGUGACUAGUGACAGAGUGAGAGAGGGGGUGACUAGUGACAGAGUGAGGAAGGGGGUGACACAGUGACAGAGUGAAGGAGGUGGUGACUGUCACUAGUCACCCCAUCCCUCCCUCUGUCACUAAUCACCACCUCCCUCACUCUGUCACUAGUCACCCCUUCCCUCCCUCUCUCUGUCACUAGUCACCCCCUCCCUCUCUCUGUCACUAGUCACACCCUCCCUCACUCUGUCAUUAGUCACCCCCUUCCU